rfam:Rattus norvegicus chromosome 4, whole genome shotgun sequence.
UGGCUCAAUGGUUAAGAGCACUGACUGCUCUUCCAGAGGUCCUGAGUUCAAAUCUCAG